GACGUAGGGCGCGAGCGUUUGUCCGGAUUUAUUGGGCGUAAAGAGCUCGUAGGCGGCUUGUCGCGUCGUCCGUGAAAACUCACAGCUCAACUGUGAGCUUGCGGUCGGAUACGGGCAGGCUAGAGUUCGGUAGGGGGAGACUGGAAUUCCUGGUGGUAGCGGUGAAAUGCGCAGAUAUCAGGAGGAACACCGGUGGCGAAGGCGGGUCUCUGGGGCCGAUACUGACGCUGAGGAGCGAAAGCGUGGGGAGCGAACAGG
rnacentral:rRNA from 1 species